AUGGCCGAAUGCUUCAAUAGGGUGCUCAAAGGUGCACGUGGAUUACCCGUGACGGCAAUAGUUCAAUACACAUUUGACAAGAUGAAUGCGUACUUUCUAAAGUACUCAAUGGAAACUGAUGCACAGAUAGCGGGUGAGAACCCGCGCAAGUACAAGUACAAGUUCCCACCCAAGGUUGAUGAAUGGUUAGAAUUUCAAUCACGAAAGGCGGACUCAGAAGAAGCUAUAUUAUAUGACAACGAAGAGUGGAAGUAUGAAGUGAAAGAGCCAGGAGGAACCACAAACGAUGGCCGGCAACAUGGAGGUCGGGCUUUCAAGGUGUCGUUAACACAAUGUGAUUGCUCUUGCGGGAGGCCAUUGUUGCUUCAUCUCCCAUGCUCACAUUUGUAUACCGCCGGUCGCGUUAGAAAUGUGGACAUCAAUCACCCACGCACCAUGAGGGAGUUGGAGUUCUCAAUCAUGACGGUCAAGAAAACAUGGGCUCCCCGCUUUCACCCAUACUUUGACCAAUCACAAUGGCCGGAGUACCAUGGAGUUCAACUAUGGCCGGAUCCG
rnacentral:rRNA from 1 species